rnacentral:rRNA from 1 species
AUUGAACGCUGGCGGCAGGCCUAACACAUGCAAGUCGAGCGGAUGAAGUGAGCUUGCUCCUGGAUUCAGCGGCGGACGGGUGUGUAAUGCCUAGGAAUCUGCCUGGUAGUGGGGGAUAACGUCCGGAAACGGGCGCUAAUACCGCAUACGUCCUGAGGGAGAAAGUUUGUGAUCUUCGGACCUCACGCUAUCAGAUGAGCCUAGGUCGGAUUAGCUAGUUGGUGGGGUAACGGCCUACCAAGGCGACGAUCCGUAACUGGUCUGAGAGGAUGAUCAGUCACACUGGAACUGAGACACGGUACAGACUCCUACGGGAGGCAGCAGUGGGGAAUAUUGGACAAUGGGAGAAAGCCUGAUCCAGCCAUGCCGCGUGUGUGAAGAAGGUCUUCGGAUUGUAAAGCACUUUAAGUUGGGAGGAAGGGCAGUAAGUUAAUACCGUGCUGAUUUGACGUUACCAACAGAAUAAGCACCGGCUAACUUCGUG